AGAAUCUAAAAAGAAAGGAAAUGCAAUUAUUAUUAUUAUUAUUUUUAGAGGGUCUUACUCUGUUGCCUAUGCUGGAAUGCAGUGGUACAAUCAUAGCUUACUUGCAGCCUCCAACUCCUGGGCUCAAGCAAUCCUCCCACCUCAGCUUCCCAAGUCUCUAGGACUACAGGCGCAUGCUACCACACUUGGCUAACUGUUUUUUUGGUAGACAUAGGGUCUUACUAAGUUGCCCAGGUUGGUCUGGAACUCCUGGGCUCAACUUGGCCUCCCAAAGUGCUAGGAUCACAGAUGUGAACCACCAUGUCCAGCCAGAAUACAAUAAUUAUUUUUAGUGAUAUUUCAGUGAUUAUUUUCUCUACCACACACAAUGCUUAGGUAUUAAAAAAUACAUCAAAGUAGUAUAGGAUAAAGUAACAAUUGCUUUGGGAUAUGUAAUUUAUUUGAGAAGAUAUGUCAUUUACUCAUAAAAUAGGCAAGACAUGAUUAGCACUUAAGUAAGGCCCUAAAGAGAGCAGAUUUGUUUUUUUUUUGAGACCAGUUCUGGUUCUGUCAUCCAGGCUAGAGUACAGUGGCAUGAUCUCAGCUAAUUGCAAACUUCCACAUCCUGGGCUCAAGCCAUCCUCCCAAGUAGCUGGGACUAUAGGCAUGUACCACCACACCUGGCUAAGUUUUGUAUUUUUUCUUGAGAUGAGGUUUUACCAUGUUGCCCAGGCUGGUCUGAAACUUUUGAGCUCAAGUGAUCCAUCCUCCUUGGCCUCCCCAAGUGCUGGGAUUACAUGUGUGAGCUACUGUGCUUAGCCUAAAGAAAGCAGCUUUAGUACGGCAUGGGAUAUAGAUAAGAUGUAUGUAAUUGCUUCAAGGUGAAUGUGUACAUGUUUUAUUACAAUGUGGGAGUGGAAGGAUACCCCCCCCCAAAAAAAAAACAAAAAGAGUGCUCAGAAAGCAUUAUACAUAAUGCUCUCAGACAUCAUAGAAAACUUGGAGGCCAGGCACGUGGCUCACACAGUCAGGAGUUUGAGACCAACCUGGCCAACAUGGUGAAACUCUUUCUCUACUAAAAAUACAAAAAAUCAACCAGCGUGGUGCGUGGUGGGCAUCUGUAAACCCAGUUACUUGGGAGGCUGAGACAGGAGAAUCGCUUGAACCUGGGAGGCAAAGGUUGCAGUGAGCUGAGAUCGUGCCACUGCACUCUAGCCCGGGCAAUUUGUGAGACCCCAUAUCUCUCUCCUCUCUCUCUCUCUCUCUCUCUCACACACACACACACACACACACACACAUGCACACAUACAACAACAACAACAACAACCUCGGAUAAUCAUAAAAGCCAAAGGAGGAGACCAAAAAUGGGGUUGUGGGUGUUUGAGAUACUGCUCAAGGCAUCAGGAAGUUCAGAUAAAUUAUAAAAGUCAGUGAAGGAAGAGUUUUGAGGAUGGAGCUGUUGACAUUACUAAAUAAAGCAGAGCUCAAGAUAAGGAUGAGCCAAGGUCAAUGGGCUUGGUAAGAAGAAAAUUAUAGGUGAUCAAGCAUACAGUUCUGAUAGUAGAAAGGAAAUAAAAAAGAAGGCAGGACAUGUCUUCAAAAAUACUGAAACCGUAUGAAAACAGAAGAAUAGUGUGAAGGGGCAGCUGAAUCAGGUAAAUUUUAUUUUUAACAUAUAUUUAAAACUCACAGGUAUUGUUAAGUCUCUCUAAAGACCUGGCACACAUGAUAGAGUAUAAGUCAGAGAGCAAAUAAAUUUCUCUUCUACUCGGGGGUAGAUGGGUAAGAGAGACAAUAUAGUGACAAAGAUUCUGAGAUGACAAAUUGUGAAAAUCGCUGGUUCCCUGAAAUCUAGAAGUCACCAUAGUCAACAGUGUCAAAACCAAAAACACCCCAAAGCACACAUAUGUAUACACAAAGAUGCACACAAAUAUAAAGUGACUUAGGCAUCUAGUUUAAUGAGCAUAUGAACAAUAUUGGGCUGUCUUAUACGGAUCUGUGGUAAAGGAAUAAAAAGCAAUGCUUCUGGUAUUCUUUAAGUAGGGGAACUUACAUUGAAAACUAAAGACAAUACAGAAAAAGCUAAAAUUAUAGGAGUAAAAUAUUGCAGCAGCUGAUUUUUAAUUAAAUCAUAAGGCUGAAAGAACUGAAAACAAACUAAACAGAUUUAUCUUAUGAUAACCUGCUAGUAAUUCACUAUAUGCCUACAUAAUCAAUGAAUGUGAUGAGAAAUGUUCACAUAUGCAGUAGUUUUAGGGUUCUGAGAAAUAUAUAUACUUGACUCUCAUUAUAUUAAGUUCUGUAAUGCUGCUCCAAAUCCUGAAUUAUUGAAUACUGAACCACUUGUUCCCAAAGGAAAUACAGGGUUAGGUUCAAUAUAUAACUUUGUUUUAUGUGUGCUUCUGUUUAAAAGCAAUUUUAUUUUUAUUUAUUUAUUUCUUUUGGAGACAGAGUCUCACUCUGUUGGCCAGGCUAGAGUGAGUGGUGUGAUAUUGGCUCACUGCAACCUCCAACUCCCAAGUUCAAGUGAUUCUCCCGCCUCAGCCUCCCGACUAGCUGGAAUUACAGAUGUGCACCACCAGGACUGGCUAAUUUUUUGUAUUUUUAGUAGAGAUGGGGUUUCACCAUGUUGCCCAGGCUGGUCUUGAACUCCUAACCUCAAGUGAUGUGCCCGCCUUGGCCUCCCAAAGUGCUGGUAUUACAGGUGUGAGCCACGGCACCCAGCCUAAAGGCAACUUUAUUUUUAAUAUACACUGUUGAUCCAUUAACACAGAACGCACAGUCAAGAACACUAACUCAUAACCGAAGAAAGUUUAUAUCUUUUUCUCCCAAGGCACAUCACAGCCUUCUUGUGCUUGGGAACACUAGACAGUAUUUUAACACUAUGCUUAUGGGCCAUUUUAAACAGCCAAAUCAGUAACAUAAAAGCAGAAAAAUGUGAAAAACAGAGCACUGAACAGAUUGUGAAAAGGACACUUGCUUAUAGUAUGAGAGUUGAAACAAGGCAGAGCAUUACCUUGUUUGACCUCUGCUUAGAAUGUGUACACUGGGCAAUGCGAACUUUUUGCCACUCUGUGCAUGUCUCCCUUUGCAAAAGUGCCAAGAAUAUUGAUUUUGGGACUACAAAUAAAUGUUAGCGAGCAGGUAAAUUUGCUAUUAGAGAAUUUGUGAAUAAUAAGAAUCAAGUCUACCUGUUUUCAAAUGUGUAGGGUUGGUAUAAAAAUGUACAUUGUCAGGCUGGGCUCAUGCUUGUAAUCCCAGUACUUUAGAAGGCCCAGGCAGAAGGAUCCCUUGAGGCCUAGGAGUUUGAAACCAGCCUGGGCAACAUAGUGAGACUCCAUCUCUACAAAAGAUUUUAACAAUAGCCAGGUAGGUGGUGUGUGCCUAUAGUCCCAGCUAAUGGAGAGGCUGAGUUGGAAGGAUCACUUGGGCCCAGAAGGUUAAGGAUGUAGUGGGCCAUGUUUUGCCACUAGACUCUAGCCGAGUGACAGAGCAAGUCUCAAAAAAAAACCCAAAAAAGUAUACUGUCCAUUUCUAUAGAGGACUGUAGAUAAAAUGGGUGUAGAAGUGUGAAGGGAAAUUUGGGACAGAAAGCUUUUCAGGUUAAACAAAAUGAAGAGAAAACUAAAGAAUACGCUAGAAUAUUGACAAGGUAAAAGUACUAUGGAAGGCCAGGUGCGGUGGCUCAUGCCUGUGAUCCCAGCACUUUGGGAGGCCGAGGCGGGUGGAUCACGAGGUCAAGAGAUCAAGACCAUCCUGGUCAACAUGGUGAAACCCCGUCUCUACUAAAAAUACAAAAAUUAGCUGGGCAUGGUGGUACGUGCCUGUAAUCCCAGCUACUCAGGAGGCAGAGGCAGGAGAAUUGCCUGAACCCAGGAGGCGGAGGUUGCGAUGAGCCGAGGUCGCACCAUUGCACUCCAGCCUGGGUAACAAAAGCGAAACUCCGUCUCAAAAAAAAAAAAAAAAGUACUAUGGAAAUAGAGCUAGGAUUAUUGUCAUUAUCAAUAAAAUUAUCCAUCAAAGCAGUUAGGCAUUCUCAAUUACUUCUCCUAAUUCUUAAUUCAGUCAUUACAAAAUAGCAAUUAACUGUAGAGACUAUAUAAUACUAUUUCCAAUUUUUUGACAUACUCACGUAACCAAAACAUUCACAAAAAAAGAACCAGAGAUCUUAGUAUAUAUAAAAUUAUCCUAAUGUAGUGAUAUGUAAACAGAAUAAAGAAAUUAUUUAUUUAUUUAUUUAUUUUUAGAUGGAGUCUCGCUCUAUUGCCCAGGCUGGAGUGCAGUGGUACAAUCUUGGCUUACUGCAACCCCUGCCUCCCGGGCUCAAGUGAUUCUCCUGCCUCAGCCUCCCAAGUAGCUGGGACUACAGUUACAUUCACAGAAAAAGUUCAUAGCAAAAGGAAAAUUAUUUCAGAGCACUGAGUCUAGCUGAUCCAGUAUACUGCGGAAAGUACCCAUAUGAUCGAGGACUUCUUCUGUUAUAGAAUUCAGGACCUAUAUCAUGAAUGUGCAAGAGCUACAGUAAUGAGAAUAACAAGCCUCAGCUAGCCUGCUGGUACAAUGAGGAAGAGAAACAUGGAGCAAAUCCUAGAUCAACCAACCUCUGACUGACACACAGACCUGAAAAAUAAAUGCUUAUUGUCACAUACUACGGAAGAUUAUAUUGGUUAGCUAUGCUAUGUUUAUGAUCAAUGAAAGGCUUUCCUCUCCCUUACUGACAGGUGUUUCUUUUAUCCUCCUAGAGAUCUUUUUGACUCUGUCUGAUGAAGUCCUAUUGUGAGUUUAGAAUCAUUUGUCCAUAUUGCUUAUAUUCUCUGAUCUGAGUCUCACUACCGAUGAGCCAAGACUUAGAUUAUCAAUUGCAAUUACUACUGACAAAGAUUUUCUCAUUCAGAUGGUUCUGUCUCCUCUCUGGAGACAGAGUUACUACUGGAACCACAGUACAUAGUAACCUUGUUACCUUACCACACUGGGCAAGUUUUCCAUAAUAUCCUCAAGUAGAAUAGCCUCUGCUUUUUGUAAAGUUUCUAACUGAGAGAAAGUCAGAUUGCAGUCACUGUUUUAUGACCAGUGUGAGGUUUAGUGAAUACUUAGGUUAAAUGAAUAACAGAGAUUAAUAGUACAUGGAUAUCAAGGAACUAUGACCCUGAUGAUUAUCACAGAUCCUGAAGAAAUGAUAAAAAAGUAAGAGGGAAAAAAUGCCUAAUUACAGUCUGUUGAAUCCAGGAAAUUAUGUAUUUAUUUAUUUAAAUUUUGCUAACAACAAGGUCUCCCUAUGUUGCCCAGACUAGUCUCAAACUCCUGGGUUCAUGCAAUCCUCCUGCCUUGGCCUCCCAAGGUGCUGACAUUACAGGUGUGAGCCACCUGUGCCGAGCCUAUUUACUAUUUAUAUAAUAAAAGAAGUAAUAAUCACAUUAACUGUAUUUCAUUUGAUUAAGACAAUAAUUCUACUUGUAUGUGCUUUUCAAAUCUGUUGCUUAUGUAGCAUAUUUUUCAGGACAGAGUAAGAAAAAUUUAGAAGUAACAUUCCUUGCAACAUACCUGAUCC